GGCAGGUUAGCUCAGUGGUAGAGCAGUGGAAUCAUAGUCCAUUGGUCGAGAGUUCGAAUCUCUCACCUGCUACCA
rnacentral:tRNA from 1 species